rnacentral:rRNA from 1 species
CGUAAGGCGCCGAAUGAGUCAUUAAAAAAUUAACAUCAUCCGAUCCCUAGUCGGCAUAGUUUAUGGUUAAGACUACGACGGUAUCUGAUCGUCUUCGAUCCCCUAACUUUCGUUCUUGAUUAAUGAAAACAUCCUUGGCAAAUGCUUUCGCAGUAGUUAGUCUUCAAUAAAUCCAAAGAACUUCACCUCUGACAAUUGAAUACUAAUGCCCCCAAUAUCCCUAUUAAUCAUUACGUCAAUCCUAGAAACCAACAAAAUAGGAUCGAACGUCCUAUUCAUUAUUCCAUGCUAAUGUAUUCAAGCG